rnacentral:sRNA from 2 species
CGCCCGUCACACCAUGGGAGCUGGUAAUGCCCGAAGUCGGUUUUGUUAACUACGGAGACAACUGCCUAAGGCAGGACUGGUGACUGGGGUGAAGUCGUAACAAGGUAUCCCUACGAGAACGUGGGGAUGGAUUACCUCCUUUCUACGGAGUACACCUUUCAGUUUAGUGCUGAAAAACACAACAAAAAUUAUUAAAUAUUAACGACAAAUAAUAGGUCAUGUCAUAUAUCUAGUUUUGAGAGAACUUUCUCUCUUUGUUCUUUGAAAACUGAAUAGUAAAGUAAAGAUAUUAAAUUAAUAUAACAACGACAUCAAAAAAUAAAUUAGUCAAUUUGUUUUGUGAUACCGAGUUAAUUAUUAUUCUAAAAAUAAUAAUUUAUUGAAAUGUCUUUGAAUACAUCAAACAAAUAGGUAAAUAUUGUUACAACUUUUAAAUAAGUAAGAGUUUGUGGUGGAUGCCUUGGGUCUGGAAGUCGAUGAAGGACGUGAUUACCUGCGAUAAGCCUCGUGGAGCUGGAUAUGAGCUACGAUACGGGGAUUUCCGAAUGGGGAAACCUAGCUAGAGUAAUUUCUAGUUGCUGUAUAAUGAAUCAAAUAGUUAUACAGACGAGACACGUUGUGAACUGAAACAUCUUAGUAGCAACAGGAAGAGAAAAUAAAUAAUGAUUCCAUUAGUAGCGGCGAGCGAACGUGGAAGAGCCCAAACCGACAUUAGUCGGGGUUGUAGGACUAUCUACAUGAAGUUACAAAUCUUUAUCAUAGCAGAAUAGCGUGGGAAAGCUAAGCAAAGAGGGUGAUACUCCCGUAAGCGAAAUGGUAAAGACUUCUGAUAGUAUCCUGAGUAGGGCGGGGCACGUGAAACCCUGUCUGAAUCUGCCGGGACCAUCCGGUAAGGCUAAAUACUAACCAGACACCGAUAGUGAACUA